GACGAACGCUGGCGGCGUGCUUAACACAUGCAAGUCGAGCGGAAAGGCCUCCUUCGGGGGGUACUCGAGCGGCGAACGGGUGAGUAACACGUGAGCGAUCUGCCCUUCACUUCGGGAUAACUGCCUGAAAGGGUGGCUAAUACCGGAUAUGACCAGCCUCUGCAUGGGGUGUUGGUGGAAAGGUUUUUCUGGUGGGGGAUGUGCUCGCGGCCUAUCAGCUUGUUGGUGGGGUAAUGGCCUACCAAGGCUUUGACGGGUAGCCGGCCUGAGAGGGUAACCGGCCACACUGGGACUGAGACACGGCCCAGACUCCUACGGGAGGCAGCAGUGGGGAAUAUUGGACAAUGGGCGGAAGCCUGAUCCAGCAACGCCGCGUGAGGGAUGACGGCCUUCGGGUUGUAAACCUCUUUCAGUACCGACGAAGCGAAAGUGACGGUAGGUACAGAAGAAGGACCGGCCAACUACGUGCCAGCCGCCGCGGUAAAAC
rnacentral:rRNA from 1 species